rnacentral:rRNA from 1 species
AUUGAACGCUGGCGGAAUGCUUUACACAUGCAAGUCGAACGGUAGAGGGGGCAACCCCUCGAGAGUGGCGAACGGGUGAGUAAUAUAUCGGAACGUGCCCAGUCGUGGGGGAUAACGUAGCGAAAGUUACGCUAAUACCGCAUACGAUCUAAGGAUGAAAGCGGGGGAUCGCAAGACCUCGCGCGAUUGGAGCGGCCGAUAGCAGAUUAGGUAGGUGGUGGGGUAAAGGCUCACCAAGCCAACGAUCUGUAGCUGGUCUGAGAGGACGACCAGCCACACUGGAACUGAGACACGGUCCAGACUCCUACGGGAGGCAGCAGUGGGGAAUUUUGGACAAUGGACGCAAGUCUGAUCCAGCCAUUCCGCGUGCAGGAUGAAGGCCCUCGGGUUGUAAACUGCUUUUGUACGGAACGAAAAGGUCUCUCUUAAUACGGGGGGCUCAUGACGGUACCGUAAGAAUAAGCACCGGCUAACUACGUGCCAGCCGCCGCGGUAA